GACGAACGCUGGCGGCGUGCUUAACACAUGCAAGUCGAGCGGAAAGGCCACUUCGGUGGUACUCGAGCGGCGAACGGGUGAGUAACACGUGAGUAAUCUGCCCUUGGCUUUGGGAUAGCCACCGGAAACGGUGAUUAAUACCGGAUACGACCACUUCUCGCAUGGGAUGGUGGUGGAAAGUUUUUCGGCCAGGGAUGUGCUCGCGGCCUAUCAGCUUGAUGGUGAGGUAAUGGCUCACCAUGGCUUCGACGGGUAGCCGGCCUGAGAGGGUGACCGGUCACACUGGGACUGAGACACGGCCCAGACUCCUACGGGAGGCAGCAGUGGGGAAUACUGGACAAUGGGCGGAAGCCUGAUCCAGCAACGCCGCGUGAGGGAUGACGGCCUUCGGGUUGUAAACCUCUUUCGGUGGGGACGAAGCGCAAGUGACGGUACCCACUAAAGAAGCACCGGCCAACUACGUGCCAGCCGCCGCCGUAAAAC
rnacentral:rRNA from 1 species